CGGGGGCUAAUACCGGAUAGGUCGAAAGAUGAAAGGUUAACUGCCUGAAGAGGAGCUCGCGUCUGAUUAGCUAGUAGGUGUGGUAAGAGCGCACCUAGGCGACGAUCAGUAGCUGGUCUGAGAGGAUGAGCAGCCACACUGGGACUGAGACACGGCCCAGACUCCUACGGGAGGCAGCAGUGGGGAAUUUUCCGCAAUGGGCGAAAGCCUGACGGAGCAAGACCGCGUGGGGGAGGAAGGCCUUUGGGUUGUAAACCCCUUUUGUUAGGGAAGAAAAAAAUGACGGUACCUAACGAAUCAGCCUCGGCUAACUCCGUGCCAGCAGCCGCGGUAAUACGGAGGAGGCAAGCGUUAUCCGGAAUUAUUGGGCGUAAAGCGUCCGUAGGUGGCCCGGCAAGUCUGCUGUCAAAGACCACAGCUCAACUGUGGAAAGGCAGUGGAAACUGCAAGGCUAGAGUGCGGUAGGGGUAGAGGGAAUUCCCAGUGUAGCGGUGAAAUGCGUAGAGAUUGGGAAGAACACCGGUGGCGAAAGCGCUCUACUGGGCCGCAACUGACACUGAUGGACGAAAGCUAGGGGAGCGAAUGGGAUUAGAUAC
rnacentral:rRNA from 1 species